rnacentral:rRNA from 1 species
UACGGAGGAUGCGAGCGUUAUCCGGAUUUAUUGGGUUUAAAGGGUGCGUAGGCGGACUGUCAAGUCAGCGGUAAAAUUGAGAGGCUCAACCUCUUCCCGCCGUUGAAACUGGUGGUCUUGAGUGGAUGAGAAGUACGCGGAAUGCGUGGUGUAGCGGUGAAAUGCAUAGACAUCACGCAGAACUCCGAUUGCGAAGGCAGCGUACCGGCAUCCAACUGACGCUGAGGCACGAAAGCGUGGGGAUCAAACAGG